AAAAGAGGAAGAGGAGAUUGUUGGGCAGACAGAGGGAGAAAGAGACAGCAGAGACAUGGAAAAAGGAAAUGUGUUGUCGAAAAGAUUCUUUGUCAUCUCGGCAGGAAGAACAAACGAAGCUCAUCAUUCCUUUAUUAAAAACCUUGAAGGCUUCGGUCCGAUUGAAGUCACCUCUCCAGAAGAAUGUGACUACAUUCUGGUUUUCUGCCCUGUCAAUUCACAAGUUGGCACAGACAUUGCCAAGGCCCUGGACAAUAAACCUUGUAAGAAAGGCUAAUUCAAACUACUUUUUAUACUGCCAUCACAG
ensembl:lncRNA